UCAGUCGACUCCUACGGGAGGCAGCAGUGGGGAAUAUUGCACAAUGGGCGCAAGCCUGAUGCAGCAACGCCGUGUGAGUGAAGAAGGUUUUCGGAUCGUAAACUCUGUCCUAAGGGAAGAAAAGAUGACGGUACCUUAGGAGGAAGCCCCGGCUAACUACGUGCCAGCAGCCGCGGUAAUACGUAGGGGGCAAGCGUUAUCCGGAAUCACUGGGCGUAAAGGGUGCGUAGGCGGCUUGACAAGCCAGGGGUGAAAGGCAUUGGCUCAACCAAUGUAAGCCUUUGGAACUGUUAAGCUUGAGUGCAGGAGAGGUAAGUGGAAUUCCUAGUGUAGAGGUGAAAUUCGUAGAUAUUAGGAGGAACACCAGUGGCGAAGGCGACUUACUGGACUGUAACUGACGCUGAUGCACGAAAGCGUGGGUAGCGAACAGGAUUAGAUACCCUGGUAG
rnacentral:rRNA from 1 species